CCUACGGGGGGCAGCAGUAGGGAAUUUUCGGCAAUGGGGGGAACCCUGACCGAGCAACGCCGCGUGAACGAAGAAGUUAUUCGUAAUGUAAAGUUCUUUUAACAGGGAAGAAAGAGAAAUUUGACGGUACCUGAAGAAUAAGCUCCGGCUAACUACGUGCCAGCAGCCGCGGUAAUACGUAGGGAGCGAGCGUUAUCCGGAAUUAGUGGGCGAAAAGGGUGCGUAGAUGGCAUAGUAAGUCUUUUGUAAAAAUGCUGGGCUCAACCCAGUAGGGCAAAAGAUACUGCAAAGCUAGAGUAUGACAGAGGAAAGUGGAACUACAUGUGUAGCGGUAAAAUGCGUAAAUAUAUGUAAGAACACCAGUGGCGAAGGCGGCUUGCUGGGUCGAUACUGACAUUGAGGCACGAAAGCGUGGGGAGCAAACAGGAUUAGAUACCCCAGUAGUC
rnacentral:rRNA from 1 species